UUCACCAUUCACUUUUGUGUUGGGGAUUUUAGAACUACUUCAUAUAAGGUCUGUGUUUCGUGUAGGCAUACCCUGGCGUGACGUUUUGAUAACUGCGCAAAUCCUUCUCGGACAAGGUCAUUUUUAUACAUAUAUUCGCCUGUAAUUACCCCCACACACAAAAAAAACGAAAUGCUAAUUAGCCGCUAAAGUGGCUAUCAUACAGAACAACGCAUCUUGUUACAAGCUUUGCCAUCAUCCCUCAAGGCACAUUUUUCAAUGCAAACUCGUCGACAAGUAACCUUUUUAUAGCCGUUUUAGUUUCUUGUGUUAAUAAUUGAUAAUGUUUCGUGUUUAUUCUUGUUUAGCAUUUUUCAAAUUACCUAGCUAGCUACCAUAAACAUUUAAUUUUUUUAAUUACUCCAAUUAUUUUCAUUACCCUCUGGCUGUAGCGAACUAGCUAACAUUAGGUCUCUCUGUCGAUCAGAAGCAAGGAUGGUUCUGUGCUAUGUACCGGAUUGUAACCGCUACAUUGAUAAGCAUACGUGCAUUUUAUCAUUUUCCAACCUCUGUAAUCGAGAGGCGUCGCUGGAGCCAUGUGAUAAGUCCAACAGGAGUGCAUCCUUCAGACCAUCCGGUACAUGGACAUCCGGUUGUGGAGACAACAGCACAUCGAGCCUGUGGACGAACAGAUAUUUACAGAUGUUCACUGUUGGAGUGCCAACUUUGGGAGCAUGUGUUCCUUGAAAACUCCUCUAGUCCAGCAAUAGGAGUCUGCCAGAGGUCGUCACGCUGGAUGGGGAUGGUGAUGGAGGCUUUGGUGGUCCACACAACGAAUAAGCAAGUGUCCCUUCCAGUGAUGUGGAGCUGCAAUUGAACCUGGGGCCAGUAAGGAUGGUCUUCACGGAGGCUGUAAGACCCUCCCUUCUGGAUAUAGAAAUCCUUCGACUUCACUGCCUUUUCAAUGGUAAGGUCCCUUGCACCAUAGGGACACUUAACCUCCACCACUGCUGUGGUGCCCACCAGACCAUCCGAUGAGGCACCCAGGAUCCCAGACCCCGUGACCCAAAGCCCUGACUCCUGCACAUCCAUCCCUGUAGCCAUUUUGAAUGCCUUGAUGUCCUCCUCUUCGUUAUCUGUGUCCUAUUUACAGACAACACCCCAUCCAACGACUGAACACCUUUAAAUUAAUUUGUUGUAAGAAAUGUGCUAUACAAAUAGUUUUAUUUGAUAACAUUAGAUGUAGAAUAUUUAAUAAACUGUAAUUUUCACAUGUGGGCAAGGGCAGUUUUUCCAUAAACUUUUAAUUGAUAAUUGGGAUUUUAUCACUUCACAUAGCCGUCAUAUAGUGGGAAGGAUCCUAUCAAUCAAGACUGUGUGAAUGCAUGUACUGCUCCGA